CUUGCUUCUCUUGAGAGCGGCGGACGGGUGAGUAAUGCCUAGGAAUCUGCCUGGUAGUGGGGGAUAACGUUCGGAAACGGACGCUAAUACCGCAUACGUCCUACGGGAGAAAGCAGGGGACCUUCGGGCCUUGCGCUAUCAGAUGAGCCUAGGUCGGAUUAGCUAGUUGGUGAGGUAAUGGCUCACCAAGGCGACGAUCCGUAACUGGUCUGAGAGGAUGAUCAGUCACACUGGAACUGAGACACGGUCCAGACUCCUACGGGAGGCAGCAGUGGGGAAUAUUGGACAAUGGGCGAAAGCCUGAUCCAGCCAUGCCGCGUGUGUGAAGAAGGUCUUCGGAUUGUAAAGCACUUUAAGUUGGGAGGAAGGGCAGUUACCUAAUACGUAAUUGUUUUGACGUUACCGACAGAAUAAGCACCGGCUAACUCUGUGCCAGCAGCCGCGGUAAUACAGAGGGUGCAAGCGUUAAUCGGAAUUACUGGGCGUAAAGCGCGCGUAGGUGGUUAGUUAAGUUGGAUGUGAAAUCCC
rnacentral:rRNA from 1 species